AAACUAUAAGAGUUUGAUCCUGGCUCAGGAUGAACGCUGGCGGCGUGCCUUAUACAUGCAAGUCGAGGGGGUUAGACCCCCGGCGAACGGGUGAGUAAUACAUAGGUACUUUGCCUUGGCGGAGGAUAACCAGCCGAAAGGUUGGACAAUACUCCAUGUGAUCGCAAGAUCAAAGCUUGUCCCAGCACAAAAGCGGGGAUCGGCACCAAGGAAUAGGCCUGUGUCCUAUCAGCUAGUUGGUGAGGUAACGGCCCACCAAGGCUAUGACGGGUAGCUGGUCUGAGAGGAUGAUCAGCCACAAUGGGACUGCGACACGGCCCAUACUCCUACGGGAGGCAGCAGUAGGG
rnacentral:rRNA from 1 species